AUAUUAGAAAAACCGAAAUUUAAUAAUUUUUUAUCAUUGUAUUUUUCUGCUUACAACAGACGGCAGUUUCGGAACAAAUGAUCAAGCAGAUGAAAGAUAUGCACAAAAAGACGUGCAUGGCACGCUCUGGUGUGAAGAAAGAGGGUCUUGCGAAAUUCAUGGAGGAAGGAGUGAAUGACGAUCCGGCAUUUAAAAAAUACACUUUGUGUAUGUUGAAAAAUAUGCAAGGGGUAA